AGAAAAUAAGACGUGCUUCAAAUGCAAAGAUUACCAUAUGUAUCUUUUUUACAGUAGAGGGUUCAAUUUUUAAAAUGAAUUUGCCAAAAGGCAUGCGGUGCACAGCCUUCAACUGCUCGACAAAAGAUUUUUUUUUUGUUUCUGGGAUUCCUUUUAAUGACAUAUAAUAAAUACACAUUUUUAAAAAUGCCAAAAAAUUGCAUGUACACCCAUUGAUAUUAUAUCGUCUUUCAUUUUGUCGUGCAAAUAAAAUAACAGAAAUAUUUUGAAAAUAUCAUUCGAAUAAACUAGUGAAGGUGAGCUCCAGCAAAGUAGAUCCUUAAAAUAGUAUUGUACGAAAAGCGUAUCACAAGGCGGAACGUUGUCAAUUUGUAUAUAUACAGAAAUGUUAUUCAUACAGUCAGGAUUCUACUUCUUCAAAAUUAUCUCCCCAUUACGCCAGUUCAUGCUCACAGUCGUAGAAAUGGAAG
rnacentral:lncRNA from 1 species